rfam:Oryza glumipatula chromosome 3, whole genome shotgun sequence.
CCUCAGUGUAGUUGUCGGUUUCGUGUCCAAUGUUUGAACGUCCAUCUUAUUUAAAAAUAAAUAUGAUUAGUAUUUUUGGUGUUAUUAGAUGAUAAAACAUGGAUAAUACUUUAUAUGUGAGUUUUUUUUUAGUUUUUUCAUACAUUUUUCAAAUAAGACGGAUGGUCAAACGUUGGACAAGAAAAUCCACAACUGCACUUAUA